GGGAGAUCUGGCUGUUACAUCUGUCCCUCCAUUGAUCAUCAGUGUUGCUCUGGCUGGCUGGUCAGGCUUCCUCCUCUGCUUCAUGUGCGUCUCUCCUGAAGCUGCACUUGGUGAAGAAGGAGACUUCCCGAUAGAGGAGGACCAUUCUUCACUCAAGGAUAUGCAAGUAGCUGCUUUCCUCUGCUAGAACCUCUAAAAAAGGUAUCAAGGGCUAUAUUUUAAGUUUUACUUACAUUAUUAACUGUACACGUACCACUGAUAUGUUGUACCUGAU
rnacentral:snRNA from 1 species